UUAAUCUCAACGCAGAACUUUUCGAAAAAAUAUGUUUACUGCAUUAGGAUAUAGUUACCUUUACGGGACACAUUCUGAUGAUAAACUUGCAAUGUGGUAACAACAUGAUGGUUUAUUAGCUACUUUCAAAACGUCAUAAUUUGUAUAUACAUGUCAUCUGAAAGUUCAUCCAUGCGUUAUUUCCAGUUAUAUUUUUCUCCUUUAGUUUGCGCCACUAGUAUGCUAAUAGUAAGCAUCUGUUUCAUUUUGACAGUUAUUUGGAGGAAGUUCUUCAGGGUAAGCUUCAAUGCACUUUUCCUCUUUUUUUGUUUUUCUUUUGUAAUAUUUCGGAUGUUCAAACUAUUAAGUUGCUAUACAUCAUUCCGUAUUUCACAUGAAUAUAGGGAGCUGAGCAAGAAUGCAUUGAAAAACAAGAAAAAGCGGGAGAAACAACGGGAGAAAAAACAAACUGAGGGUGCUUCUGGAACUGGUGGUUCAUGAUCAGAUGCAACUUUACAGAAUGCUGUCUUUGACAAUGCAGGUCAUGAGGGGCCUAAAGCAAUAUAAGGUUUUCAUGGACCCUCAACAUACCGGAGAUUUAUUUGAUUUGGCCUAAUAUUUGUAGAAAAUAUAAAUCAAAUUUUGUUUCAUAUCUUCUUUCCAAAUUUAGUUUUCAGCCCAUGUGCUAGAUUUGAAAUAAAAUUGCCCUUUUCUCAAGUAAAUUUACUUGUGUUGGAUGAGUGGGAUGGUGGAGCUGCCAGUUAGAGAGGAAGUUAGUGACAGAAGGGAAAUGUUUCUCUUUUUCUUUUUUUGUUGUUGUGUUACUACCUUCUGGUUAUGAAAUACUAGUAUAGUGCCCGCGCGAUGUGUGAAAAAUAUUAGAAGAAAAAUUGUAAUCUUAUUUUUAGAUAAAUGUAAAAUUUACGGAUAUAGUUAAAUAGAGACAGUUGGC
rnacentral:lncRNA from 1 species